UCCCUUCUCUCCUAUUCUUUUCUUCGUUCAUCCUCCCGUCUACCCCCCUUCCCUUCUUCCUCCGUUUUUCCCUCUUAUUCCUUCCUUUCUUUUGCUCCCUUUCUUCUCUUUCCUAUUCCUCCCUCCGCCUUAUCUUCCUUCCUUGCUUCCUUAUUUCAUUCUCUCCUUUUCCUUUUUAAUCCCUUUCCUUCAUUUCCCUCUUUAUUUCUUUCCCUCACUCCCUUCCAUUUUCUUUCCCCUCCCCCUCUUCCUUCGCCUUUCCUUCUUCCCCUCCUCCCUUCACCCCCUUAUAAAACUUCAUAAUGUUCCCCGUUAACAACUAGAGUUAAUUUCCCCUUUCCUAAAUCACCGCGCGGAGGCCUAAGUGAUAAUACAUUGUGUGGCGAGGCGGGUAAUACACUGGCGGAGGCGGUGGUGGUGGUGGUGGUGGGGAGAUGUUGGUAGUGAUGUUGGUGGUGGUGGUGGUGGUGAGGAGACGUGGGUAGUGAUGUUGUUGUUGUUGUUGGUGGUGGUGGUGGUAGUGGUGGUGGUGAGGAGACGUGGGUAGUGAUGUUGUUGAUGGUGGUGGUGGUGGUGGUGGUGGUGGUAGUGACAGUUUGUUUUAUCAGGGGAAGGGAAACGCGUCCGGUGUUCCCCAGGCAUUGAUAACCUUGUUUGUUCUCCACCACCACCACCACCACCAGUAUCACCAACUACUACUACUACUACUACUACUACAUAAAUGAUACUUCCUCCCAUAUUUAUUUUCCCGACACAUAAUCAUGGAGGGCUCUAUAGCUUGGAGGUCAUUAGCCCCAACUCUGUUCGCUAAUGACUGUGGCAUCCAACCAUAUCACUAAUACUACCUAGCACUAAAUCGCCUAUCAUCUAUUACGUCCAGAUCCCCCUUUCCUUCCCUACUCAAGUCACUCCCGACCCACCCUAAUGUCACUCUCCACCACUGUGGCUACUACUACUACUACUACUACUAUUGCUACUACUACUACUACUACUACUACUACUACUACUACUGCUACUACUACUACUACUACUAUUACAACCACCACCACCACCGAGAGAGAGAGAGAGAGAGAGAGAGAGAGAGAGAGAGAGAGAGAGAGAGAGAGAGAGAGAGAGAGAGAGAGAGAGAGAAAGGGGAAAGUCGAGGAGAAAUAUUAAGCGAAAAAACCACGUAUCAUCUUUUAUCUUGAUCCCCGGAAGGUGUCACGACGCUGAAGGGAAGAAGGAAGAAAUAUUACCGGGCCCGCGGGAGGCUCAGCUCAGCGCGCCGGUGGAGGCCUCUGGUGGCGGCGGCCGGAAGGAGGGUCUUGGCCGUGGUAGUGAUAGUGGUGAUAGGGGGGGGAAUUGUUUGUAGUGGGAAGAGGCGGUGGCGGAAGGAUGUGAUAUGGGUUAGGAUAGGCUUUGGUUGUAGUAGUAAUGGUGGUAGUAGUGGUGUUGCUGGUGGUGGUGGUAGUGGUAGGGGUGGAAGGUAGAAAUGGGUUGUGACUGUCAUUAAUUGUAUGUGGUGGUGGUAGAGAUGGCAUAGGAUGUAAGGGGUAAUAUUUGUAGUUGGUAGUGAUGGUUGAAGGGAGGCAUGGGUUAAAAUGGGCAGUGUUUUUAGUAAGGGAAGAAAUAAAGAGGAAAGGAAGGAGGGAUUGAAAAUAAGGAAGGGAAACAAUGAGAAAUGGACAGUGUUUUUAGCAAGGGAAGAAAUAAAGAGGAAAGGAAGGAGGGAUUGAAAAUAAGGAAGGGAAACAAUGAGAAAUGGACAGUGUUUUUAGCAAGGGAAGGAAUAAAGAGGAAAGGAAGGAGGGAUUGAAAAUAAGGAAGGGAAACGAUGAGAAGGGAAGGGGAGAUAAAGACGAGAAAGGAGAUAGCUGGGGAAGGAACUGCUGUUACUGGUAGGGACGGUGUAAGUAAGAUGUAAGGGGCGUUGUUUGUUGUUGAUGAUGGUGAUGGUUGAUGGGGGGGGGGGUUGAAUGGGUUGGAAUGGGCAUUGCUGAGAGUGGUUAGUGGUGGUGGUGGACUGAUCGUGGUGGUAGAGAUGAUAGGUAUAGGAUAUUAUGGGUAUUGUGUGUAGUGGUAAGUAGUGGUGAUUGAAGGGGGUGCUAUGGAUUCGUAGUGGUAAUGAUUGUGGUGGUGACGGUGGUGGUACAGUAGUGGUGAUGCAAGAGUGAUAGUAAAUAGUAUUGGUUGUUCUGGUAAUGGUGGGGAUGGUAGAGAGGGUGGUAGGGAUCGGAAUGGGCAGUUUGUGAUGGUGAUGGAAGAGAUGGAGGUGGUGGGGGGGGCGGGGGGUAAUGGUGAUUGAAGGAUAUUUGUGUUGGCGUUGUUAGUGUUAUUGUUGUUGUUGGUGGUAGUGUCGGAGGUUGACGGUAAUAGAGAUAAAAGACCUGGUGAUACUGUUUGUUAUUGUUGUUCUUGCUGGUGGUGGUGGUGGUGGUGGUGGUGAUGGAGAUAAAAGAGGCGAGGCUAGUGUUAGUGUUCUUGCUGGUGGUGGUAGUGGUGGUGGAGAUAAAAGAGGUGGGGAUAGUGUUAGUGUUCUCCUUCCUGGUGGUGGUGGUGGUGGCUGCGUUUCAAGAUUGUCGUACUUAACCUAUUAUGUUUUGCGAUUUCCGACCCAAAAACUGUCUCCUCCACUCCAAUAACUACAUUUAUUUAUAGUUACCGUUGAAAGCUUUAAUUAUUUGUGUCUUUUUGCUUUAGUUAAGUGUCUAAAAAUGGUAAUGGAGGAUACGAUAAUGUCUAAAAAUGGUAUAUACAAUGGAGGAUACGAUAAUCUGUCAACGUUGGGUGGUGGUGGCGGCGGCGGCGGGCACAGAGGAGUGAGAUACAAGGGGCCAUGCUGCUGGUCCUAAUGGUUAUGAAUGAGGUGCUCGCUCGGGGUAGUCAGGGCUCAUAAAAGGGAAGUAAUGUCUGCACGUAAUCAAGGCGUAGGGAAUCACUCAUGGUGGUUUUAGUGAGGGAGGUGGCAGAGAUGGAUUCAUGCCCAUAUCUUAGCGAGCAUUCUUGUUUUCAUAUGUUUUUGCCCUUCAGUUGCUUCUUUCACUGUAAACAAAAUCUAAUAUACUCAGGGAACAACACCCACACAAUCCUGUAUUAAUAGAGAGGUGAUUUGAUCGUUUAAACUGGAUAAAGAGAGCAUUCUUGUUUUCAUAUGUUUUUGCCCUUGAGCUGCUUCCUUCACUGUAAACAAAAUAUAAUAUACUCAGGGAACAACACCCACACAAUCCUGUAUUAAUAGAGAGGUGAUUUGAUCGUUUAAACUGGAUAAAGAGAGCAUUUUUGUUUUCAUAUGUUUUUGCCCUUCAGUUGCUUCCUUCACUGUAAACAAAAUAUAAUAUACUCAGGGAACAACACCCACACAAUCCUGUAUUAAUAGAGAGGUGAUUUGAUCGUUUAAACUGGAUAAAGAGAGCAUUUUUGUUUUCAUAUGUUUUUGCCCUUCAGUUGCUUCCUUCACUGUAAACAAAAUCUAAUAUACUCAGGGAACAACACCCACACAAUCCUGUAUUUAUAGAGAGGUGAUUUGAUCGUUUAAACUGAAUAUAGAGACUAGCAUGGGGUCAGAUUCAGAUUUUCAGAUUUUUAUUAAGAACAGGGGGGGGGGGGGAUUACAAGGAGGGGUGGGGUGUACAUACAUAUAUCCUAUCCUAAACAAUAUAAAUCUAUGUAUAUACGGAGAGAAAGCGAGGAAAAAGACAGAGGGAAGGAAGAGAGAACAGUAGAACCAGUAUCUAUACCCAGGGAGUGACCAGACAACCGUGUAUUGAUAGUGAAGUGAUUUGAGCGGAUGAGA